rnacentral:rRNA from 1 species
UACGAAGGGGGCUAGCGUUGUUCGGAAUUACUGGGCGUAAAGCGCGCGCAGGCGGCCAUUCAAGUCAGGGGUGAAAGCCCAGAGCUCAACUCUGGAACUGCCCUUGAAACUGUAUGGCUUGAGUAUGAGAGAGGUGGGUGGAAUUCCCAGUGUAGAGGUGAAAUUCGUAGAUAUUGGGAAGAACACCGGUGGCGAAGGCGGCUCACUGGCUCAUUACUGACGCUCAGGCGCGACAGCGUGGGGAUCAAACAGG